AGCAGCCGCGGUAAUUCCAGCUCCAAUAGCGUAUAUUAAAGUUGUUGCAGUUAAAAAGCUCGUAGUUGAAUUUCGGGGUUCUACCGUUGGUCAGGCUAUUGUCUGUACUGGUGUGUAGAAUUUCUACCUUCUGGGGAACUAUCAUGUUAUUAAUUUAGCGUGGUAGGAAACCAGGACCUUUACCUUGAAAAAAUUAGAGUGUUCAAAGCAGGCUUAUGUCUGAAUACAUUAGCAUGGAAUAAUAAAAUAGGACGGUGGUCCUGUUUUGUUGGUUUCUGAAUCACCGUAAUGAUUAAUAGGGAUAGUUGGGGGCAUUAGUAUUCAAUUGUCAGAGGUGAAAUUCUUGGAUUUAUUGAAGACUAACUACUGCGAAAGCAUUUGCCAAGGAUGUUUUCAUUAAUCAAGAACGAAAGUUAGGGGAUCGAAGACGAUCAGAUACCGUCGUAGUCUUAACCAUAAACUAUGCCGACUAGGGAUCGGACGAUGUUAACUUUUCUUGACUCGUUCGGCGCCUUACGGG
rnacentral:rRNA from 1 species